AGCGAACGCUGGCGGCAGGCUUAACACAUGCAAGUCGAACGGGCACUUCGGUGCUAGUGGCAGACGGGUGAGUAACGCGUGGGAACGUGCCUUUCGGUUCGGAAUAAUCCAGGGAAACUUGGACUAAUACCGGAUACGCCCUUCGGGGGAAAGAUUUAUCGCCGAGAGAUCGGCCCGCGUCGGAUUAGCUAGGUGGUGAGGUAGAGGCUCACCAAGGCGACGAUCAGUAGCUGGUCUGAGAGGAUGAUCAGCCACAUUGGGACUGAGACACGGCCCAGACGCCUACGGGAGGCAGCAGUGGGGAAUAUUGGACGAUGGGCGCAAGCCUGAUCCAGCCAUGCCGCGUGAGUGAUGAAGGCCUUAGGGUUGUAAAGCUCUUUUGUCCGGGAAGAUAAUGACUGUACCGGAAGAAUAAGCCCCGGCUAACUUCGUGCCAGCCGCCGCGGUAA
rnacentral:rRNA from 1 species